ACAUCUGCUGCUUUCCUGACAGCAGUCCAGAGCUUUUCCGACAUUUCACUACUGUGGCUCGGAUGACCCCAGAGCGUGAGAGUGUACAACCUGGGAGCCUGGGGUCCAGCCUUGAGGGCAAUCAGCCCUAAAUUUGAAAACAUUUAAGGAUCAUGGAUUCUAAAACACUAGUGUCUUCACCUGUAAAAGGGGGAUUAAAAACACCGAACUCAUACGAUUAUCAUGAUGAAGACAAAACUGGAUAUUUAGAUUGCCUGUCACAGUCCUGGGAUGUGGUGAUCCCGAUGCCCAGUACAACUGGAGAACCACGACCCCAAGCCAGCGUCUUCCACUAGAACCAGAGCCAUGUUGGCGCUUCUCUCCCCAUUCAAGCCCAAAGUCAAGAGAGGAAGAAAGGAAAGGAAGAGGAGAAGACAACUGUCAUGUUGUGAUGACACUCGAGCAUCCUUUUGAAGGAGGUUUUGUGAGGAGCUGAGGCCUCCCACCAACAACCAGCACCAGUUUGCCAGCCAUAUUCCACCUAUCCAGAGAAAACCAAAACACUACUUGG